rnacentral:rRNA from 1 species
AUUGAACGCUGGCGGCAUGCUUUACACAUGCAAGUCGAACGGCAGCGCGGGCUUCGGCCUGGAGGCGAGUGGCGAACGGGUGAGUAAUGCAUCGGAACGCGCCCAGUAGUGGGGGAUAGCCCGGCGAAAGCCGGAUUAAUACCGCAUACGACCUGAGGGUGAAAGCGGGGGACCGAAAGGCCUCGCGCUAUUGGAGCGGCCGAUGUCGGAUUGGCUAGUUGGUGGGGUAAAGGCUUACCAAGGCGACGAUCCGUAGCUGGUCUGAGAGGACGACCAGCCACACUGGGACUGAGACACGGCCCAGACUCCUACGGGAGGCAGCAGUGGGGAAUUUUGGACAAUGGGGGCAACCCUGAUCCAGCCAUGCCGCGUGCGGGAAGAAGGCCUUCGGGUUGUAAACCGCUUUUGUUCGGGAAGAAAUCCUCUGGGCUAAUACCCCGGGGGGAUGACGGUACCGGAAGAAUAAGCACCGGCUAACUACGUG